GACGAACGCUGGCGGCGUGCUUAACACAUGCAAGUCGAACGGAAAGGCCCUGCUUUUGUGGGGUGCUCGAGUGGCGAACGGGUGAGUAACACGUGAGUAACCUGCCCUUGACUUUGGGAUAACUUCAGGAAACUGGGGCUAAUACCGGAUAGGAGCUCCUGCUGCAUGGUGGGGGUUGGAAAGUUUCGGCGGUUGGGGAUGGACUCGCGGCUUAUCAGCUUGUUGGUGGGGUAGUGGCUUACCAAGGCUUUGACGGGUAGCCGGCCUGAGAGGGUGACCGGCCACAUUGGGACUGAGAUACGGCCCAGACUCCUACGGGAGGCAGCAGUGGGGAAUAUUGCACAAUGGGCGGAAGCCUGAUGCAGCAACGCCGCGUGCGGGAUGACGGCCUUCGGGUUGUAAACCGCUUUCGCCUGUGACGAAGCGUGAGUGACGGUAAUGGGUAAAGAAGCACCGGCUAACUACGUGCCAGCAGCCGCGGUGAUACGUAGGGUGCGAGCGUUGUCCGGAUUUAUUGGGCGUAAAGGGCUCGUAGGUGGUUGAUCGCGUCGGAAGUGUAAUCUUGGGGCUUAACCCUGAGCGUGCUUUCGAUACGGGUUGACUUGAGGAAGGUAGGGGAGAAUGGAAUUCCUGGUGGAGCGGUGGAAUGCGCAGAUAUCAGGAGGAACACCAGUGGCGAAGGCGGUUCUCUGGGCCUUUCCUGACGCUGAGGAGCGAAAGCGUGGGGAGCGAACAGGCUUAGAUACCCUGGUAGUCCACGCUGUAAACGGUGGGUACUAGGUGUGGGGUCCAUUCCACGGGUUCCGUGCCGUAGCUAACGCUUUAAGUACCCCGCCUGGGGAGUACGGCCGCAAGGCUAAAACUCAAAGGAAUUGACGGGGCCCCGCACAAGCGGCGGAGCAUGCGGAUUAAUUCGAUGCAACGCGUAGAACCUUACCUGGGUUUGACAUGGAUCGGGAGUGCUCAGAGAUGGGUGUGCCUCUUUUGGGGUCGGUUCACAGGUGGUGCAUGGCUGUCGUCAGCUCGUGUCGUGAGAUGUUGGGUUAAGUCCCGCAACGAGCGCAACCCUUGUUCACUGUUGCCAGCACGUUAUGGUGGGGACUCAGUGGAGACCGCCGGGGUCAACUCGGAGGAAGGUGGGGAUGACGUCAAGUCAUCAUGCCCCUUAUGUCCAGGGCCUCACGCAUGCUACAAUGGCUGGUACAGAGAGUGGCGAGCCUGUGAGGGUGAGCGAAUCUCGGAAAGCCGGUCUCAGUUCGGAUUGGGGUCUGCAACCCGACCUCAUGAAGUCGGAGUCGCUAGUAAUCGCAGAUCAGCAACGCUGCGGUGAAUACGUUCCCGGG
rnacentral:rRNA from 1 species